UUCAAGGUCUAUAGAUUUCUUUUUGGUCUUACAUAUUUAUUCGAAUCAAUAGACUUUAUUUAUCUUUUAUUUACGGCUUGCAAAAAGAAAGCGUACGCAUAUCAUUGUGGGUAGUCAAGAUGCAUACGACUCUAUAUGGUAGAGAUAACGAUCGUAUAUAUAAACUUGGAAAAUCUGAGAAAAUGUUGAAAAAAAUUAAAUUCACGAAAUAUAUUUAUACGUUUAGAACAGAAAUACGUUGUGAAGACAUUUGCAGAUAAAAGUGGACAGGAGUUAAGGUCCAGGUAUAUCUUGAAAAAUAUGCAUACCUUCUUUCGCAAUGAACGGAUGGUUAAAACGAAAAUGUCAACGACAACAUUUCUUUACUUUUGAAAAGCCAAAUCAUAACAUGUUUUUCAUACUUCCUAGCUUGAUUAAAAAAUAAUAAAAUAAUAUUAAUGGUUGACAUCCGCGCCGAAAUCAAGCACCAGCCUCGCGGAAAAGCUAUAGUUGUCAACGUUGCCGUUACUGAUGUGAGGAUAAGUUUAUAUGAGGAGCGUGACCAUAAACUAAAAUUUAAAACUUAAAUUGAAAUCAGGUAUUCCUGCUUGCUCGAUAGAAGUGGUAUGUAUGAUUAUUUUUUAUUACAUUGACGUCGGACCCAUCUUUCCGAAGCAGUUAUAUUUUUUAUGAAAGCAAGCCUUACCUUGAACAGCCAAAUAGCUUCUCACCGUAGAGUGUAUAGCGAGGCAUUAGGUUUAGGCAUUUCACACAGAAUAAAUUAAAAGAUACCACGACAUGUACUUACGCGGUAAGACUGGCAAAGAAAAACUGCUGCAACUGUUUACUGAAAGAGUCGUGAAAGCGGGUGUAUAAAAUGGAGCUCCCCUACUCUCUAGACCUUUACAGAAGCGACUUCUUCUUGGAAGUAAAACGCUCCCCGACUUUCUGUCAUCGAUCGACAUCAAGAAACCAAGAAACCAAGAUACCAAAUGUUCGUAGGGUUGCACAAAGCUAAUUCAUAUGAAGAAUAAAAUAGUUUAGAAAUCAGUAGAUUUCAGUAUAGAUCGGAUGAACCAAGCUCUCGAUGGAACCGCACGGAAAAACUUUUGGUACCCUGGGAGCUCUAAAAAUUAUUCACAUAAUUUAUUUGGAGUCCUCACGAUGCGGUUUUGACUCUACGCUAUAUUAUUUUGGAAGCUCUGUACAUCCGAGAUUCUUGGAUGUACAGAGACUCCAACUUGGAACCCUGGGGCGCCUAAUUCCCGAAUGUAAGCCAUUCCCCCACCACGCGAGCGUGUUUACGCACGCGAAGAAAACGGUGGUGGGGGAAGCUUGCAUCUCGGCCCGUCUCGGCCUGCAUGCCAGAAUGGGGGCCCCAGAGGUCCAAAAGUUUUUCCGUGCGGAUGGCACCUGAUCCGCGCCUUAUCACUCGAGGAGGUGAUUAGAGGCUAAUUAUCGCAAUAAAGCAUCUUAACCUCGAAAGUUUUCUUCAUGCUUCCCUUCGACACCUUUCUUCGCAUCUCUGAUCUACUGGACUCUAGUCCCUGAUAGCACAGUUCUUUCCUACCGUAGAAAGAUAUGCAGUAAACGAGAAAAAUAGGAGUGCUUCAAAGGCCAACCUCUGAUUAAAUAUAAGUAAAUAUGGUAAGAAAAAUAUUAUUAAUCAAUUUAUAAAAAGGGGAUUGUUAGAACAUCCAUAUUAUAUGAAAAAUCGUAAAGGGCAGCCAUAUGUUAACUAUUAACAUACAGCUAUUUGACAUAUAACAUAGUUACGUUAACUAUUAACAUACGUAUUAUUGGCUCAAAUCGAACAUGCCUACGUUAACAGUUAACAUAUACGUUUGCUGCAAUGUUAUUUUUCUCUCAGUGCGUCGUUGCAGAAUGCGCGCUAUGAGAUUUUACUCGGGCCGGAAAAGCGAUAACCGUUUUCCAGAUGCCGGACGUGAUUGUAAAAGGACUAGGCUGAAUUUUCCCGAAAUUGCUCUGCUUGUGGAUUAUCGUCUUCUUAAAAUUUUGUAAAUGCUUUAAAUAGACUCUUGUGCUCGCAGUUUUCUCGAACCUUCCGGAUACACUUCCCCAUUUAAGAAAAUUACGAAGUACAGUUGCGUAAUACGCAAUGCGAACUCAGGUAUUCAGGUAUAUAAUUAUAGGUGAACUUUCUUAGUACGCAUAGUGGUAUGAUCGCAAGAAUGUUACUUAGCAUGAGCUCUUCCAUAUUUUCGGUAGCACGCGUUAUUUCGGCGCUUAAAACUCGUUUUUUGACGUACUAGAGCUUGAACAGCGUGCUUCACGCACCCUAACCUAAAAGACGUUUAGACUUCCUGACUCAGACGCAUGCGCACUACAUGAGCCAAUCACAAAACGUCUAUCUUCAUAAAUGUAAAGCUAGCCCUCCUCUCCAACGACGCGCUCACAACCAAUAGGGCCCACCCAAUCAGAAAUCGGUGCUCCCCUCCUCGUAUAAAUUUUGCCAUACUGAGAAUACUCAGUCGUACCUGCACCAGUCAGAGAAUUGCAUCGCACAGAGUUAUUAUGAACUUCAGUGUCAGCAAAGAGUGUCUCCACUGAGAAAUACUCAUCAGUCAUAGUUACGCAUCGCACAGAGAAAAAAUCCACACUUAUGUCUUAAUAAUGGCCAACAAAAAGCAUUUAAUCAUGGACAUCGACGAAGACGUGUGUACAAAUCUGUUCAGAGCCGUCGAGGAGCGUUCCGUCGCUCUGGUUACACGCAUGCUGAACACGGAAGAUCUAGAUCUCGACGCUGUUGAACCGGACAUCAAUUUGACUUUGUUGCAAGUGAAUGCCAUCAAUGGCAACACUUCUAUCACUCGACUUCUAGUAAAAGCUGGAUGCUCGAUCGACGCUACUGACUAUCGCGGCAACACACCGCUACACUUUGCCAUACCAAAUGGCCAAUUCAGGGUAGCUAAUCAACUUAUUGAGCUCGGAGCCGAUAUUUAUAUAAAAAAUUACCUCGCCGAAACACCACUUCAAACAGCUGUGACGACCUUGGCUUCGAAUGGAAUGGGAAAGGCCAAGAACGCAAACUGCUUCGAAAUUGUACAGAUUUUUCUGUACGCCAGGGCCAAUCCCAACACUACAAACAUCCGCGGCUGCGCUCCGAUCCACCAAGCAGCUGCGAUGGGGCAUUACGACCUGGUGGAAACACUUAUUCAUGCCGGUGCUGACAUCGAUUUGAAGUGCAAUAUCGGUAGAACCGCAUUAUUUUUCGCUAUUGAAGGCUGCAAAGAAGAAGUGAUCAUUUUGCUUCUGAUGCACGGUGCCAGUGUUAAUAUCCAGACCUACAAUGGUGUCACACCCCUCAGCUUAGCCGCAAAGUUGAACAACGACAACCGCUACAAGUCCAUUAUCAAGAAGUUACUGGAAUACGGUAGCGAUCUAAACUACGUGAACAUAGAAGGCUGGACACCCUUUUACGACAUGGUUGCCAAGUGCGAGUUUGACACCUUGAGUCUUUGCAUAGAUAAGGUCAACAUCAAUCGGCAGACUCUUGCCGCCUCUAGUCUUUUGCACAAUGCUAUUUAUAACGAAGACAAGCGUGUCAUACCUUUGAUCCUGGAUAAGAUGUGCACGAAUAUAUUAGCAAUCAUUGCUCCUAACGUGUGUACAUGUUUACGGCAAUGAUAUCUUUCUCUCAGUGUAGAUGAGACUAUUUUUAUGGAGAACGUUUUGUCACCUAGAAAGCUUUUAAUAUAAAUACAUAAAACCAACAACUAUUCAGCAUCUCUAAUGAUCAUUAUUGUGCUCGAUUUCAAUUGAGAAAGUUUGACCAGAAUUUCCUGCUCUUAAGAAUAUAAUUAGUGUUUGUAGAACCUUUUGAGGUCAUAUAUCGAUUGCGUACUCCCAAAACAAUGUAUUUUUCGACUAUACCGUCAGUUAUUAUGUUUCCUUGUUACUAUAUUUCUAUGAACUGCAAUUGCUGAUUAAUUUUUAACACACCCUAUUAUUUUUUUAGAUAUAAUAUCAAUUGGUAUGGAAUAUCUUCAUCAAGAGUUCGUAUUUUCGUCCUCAUGAUUAUGCAAAAGACCGCAAAACCUGCUCAUUUAACAGCAGGGACCGUUAUGUUAUUAUCUAUACAAAAUUUUGUGACGAUAUUAAGGACUGCGUGGUCAUUUGGGAUGUUGCUAUUAACUACGCAAAAGCAAGGUAGAAACAAAGAUACAAACUUCAUAGGAUUUUAACCAGAUUUAAUUAAAUAAAAAAUACUUGUUUGAUGCUUAAACUGUAAUAUUUGUCUAAUUUACUUUAAUCUUAACAUCUACUAUUCUCCUAUCCCUGAUGUUGUGAAUGCUUUAAAAAUACGAUUUUAUCGUGAUAAUUAUGGCUAAACAUUCGUCUGAAUGGUGGCUAAAUUAGAGGUGGUUUUAAUGUAAUGGGGUUAUUCAAAUUUCCUUUUUGUUUUUCUUUUCUAAAAUAUAUAUUGCAUUUAGAUUGAUGAAGUUUGGUAAGAAACUUUUUACUUACUCCAAACUAUAAUUGCUGGUUGGGGCACUUUUUGAAGUAAUAUAUUGAUGCAUAUUGAAUGCGUACUUCCAACACGAUGCAUUCUUUGACUAUACCUAUCAGCUUCGUUUUCACGAUGAUAGCCCAUCUGAUUGAAGUAUUUAGAAGUCUUUGAUAUUAACUGCAGUUCAAGUAUAUAUUAUCCGACAAAAUGGAUUUCUUUGAUAGUCAAUAUUUUAUGGCCUUAUCAAUCGACUUUAAGGAGUAUAAGUAAUUAUGUAAUAUUUACAGUGACGUUAGUUUCUAUGGUUAUUGCUAUGGUAGCUGGAAUUUACUCAGAGACAAAACUUUUGAAUAUUUUAAAGGGUUCUCUUCCAAUUAUUUUCUGUAGCGGCGCCCUUGUUGCAUAUAUGCUUCUUUAUAGCAGGAAAAAAGAG